UCCUACGGGAGGCAGCAGUGGGGGAUACUGCACAAUGGGGGAAACCCUGAUGCAGCGAUGCCGCGCGAAUGAUGAAGGCUUUCGAGUCGUAAAGUUCUGUUCUUAGGGAAGAUAGUGACGGUACCUAAGAAGAAAGCCCCGGCUAAAUACGUGCCAGCAGCCGCGGUAAUACGUAUGGGGCGAGCGUUAUCCGGAAUUAUUGGGCGUAAAGAGUUCGUAGGCGGUUUUCUAAGUCAGAAGUGAAAGGCAGUGGCUCAACCAUUGUAAGCUUUUGAAACUGGGAAACUUGAGUGUUGGAGAGGAAAGCGGAAUUCCUAGUGUAGCGGUGAAAUGCGUAGAUAUUAGGAGGAACACCAGUGGCGAAGGCGGCUUUCUGGACAAAUACUGACGCUGAGGAACGAAAGCGUGGGGAGCGAACAGGAUUAGAUACCCUGGUAGUCCACGCCGUAAACGAUGAGUGCUAGGUGUUGGGGUAGCGAUACUUCAGUGCCGCAGCUAACGCAUUAAGCACUCCGCCUGGGGAGUACGGUCGCAAGACUGAAACUCAAAUGAAUUGACGG
rnacentral:rRNA from 1 species